GUGCCAGCCGCCGCGGUAAUACAGAGGGUGCAAGCGUUAAUCGGAAUUACUGGGCGUAAAGCGUGCGUAGGUGGUUCUUUAAGUCAGGUGUGAAAUCCCUGGGCUCAACCUAGGAACUGCAUUUGAUACUGAAGAGCUAGAGUGUGGUAGAGGAUGGUGGAAUUCCCGGUGUAGCGGUGAAAUGCGUAGAUAUCGGGAGGAACAUCAGUGGCGAAGGCGGCCAUCUGGACCAACACUGACACUGAGGCACAAAAGCGUGGGUAGCAAACAGGAUUAGAUACCCCGGUAGUCC
rnacentral:rRNA from 1 species